ensembl:lncRNA LOC120100068 uncharacterized LOC120100068
AUUUCUUUCUUGAACUAAACAAAGUAAAAGAAUUCCAGAACCAGUAAACUCCAACUCUGCUCCACAUUGGCUGGUUCUAGAAUUCUUUUCUGUGCCCAAGUGAAGAUCCUAGCUACACCUGAGGGGCCAUCUCUGAGAGGAAUUUCCCAGGUUUUAAAAUCCACAAGGUUGAGUUCUCUCCUGCUACCUAGAAUAUCUGCAUACCCACUUCCUCCCGUCAGCUUGUAAUUCUAACAGGUACUAACAUGUCUGUGGAGCCCAAGAAUCAGGAGCAGUGUCCAGAGCCAAAUCAGGGUCUGUGGACCCACCCAACAGAAGGAGGGAGUGGGAGUUUAUGGGUGAAGAACCAUGAAAUACAGUCACUUCUUCCAGUCUGGGAUUGGUUUGUUUUCGUCAAGUGGUCUAUGCUCCGGCUUUCUUCCUGGACCUAUGUGGCUCACCAAAGUAUCCCUGAAGGGGUAAAAUGGCCGUUGCCUGAGAGCUUCACCUGAGUCAUGGGAAGAAACCUACAGAGCCUAUCUGGGUUUG